ACCGUUUGGGUGGUGACCUCAGUACCUGGUCUUAGCAACCUUCUACUCACCACAGAUGAAGCACGUGGUCUUCAGGAUCUCCUCCUUCUUUUGUUUCUCGCUCCUCAAGUCGGCGAACGUGUCAAUGAUGACGCCAAAGAUCAGGUUGAGAACGAUGAUGAUGACGAUGAAGUAGAAGAGCAGGUCGUAGACGACUCGAGCAGGAAACAGCGGCUCCUGCACGCAGGAGAGCACCUGGAAAAGAAACAGGGACCUCCAGCUGCUCCCGGGGAUCCAGGUACAAAGACAUCCAGGUAAAACCUCCUAAAACUUUUAACAUCCUCUUUCAUAAAUCAGCUCCAGGAGGAUUUAUCUACCAGAGAAGUUCCUGUAGAGCAGAUCCAGCAUGUUUUAGUGAUUUCUCUGAUGCAACACAGCUCUGCAGCAGCUCUGCAGAAGCCUUUUAGGCCUAGUCCACACGUAGCCGGGUUUUUUCAAAAACGAAUAUCCGCCCCUCCAGAAACUUGCAUCCACACCACCUCGUUUUAAAAAAAAAACUCUGUCCACACGUACCCGGAUAAAUACGUUGUUAAGGACAUGCCAGACCUGUAGGUGGCAGUACUUCCCCCGUUCUUAACCUCGUCCUUCGUCUGUGGUCUUCCGCAAGGAUCAGUAAUUCCUCUUGCAAAAACAAACAAGCAGAAAGCGCUUGGACGAUUGAUAAAGCGAGCGCAGCUCUGAGGGCAUCCAUGCUGUCGGCUAGUGUAAACACAGGUCGCACACGUGAUGUCAGCAUUUUUUUGUCAUGGAAAGUGACUUUACGGACCUUAAAACUCCGGUUUUGUCCGUCCACACGCAGACACCCAAAACGGAGAAAACGCAGAUCUUCACUUUGGCCGGAGUUUUUAAAAAGAUCCGUUUUCGUGUGAAAAAACUCCGUUUUCGUGUGGAUGACAGGCCAAAACGUAGAAAAAUAUCUACGUUUUGGCAGAUCCCCGGCUACGUGUGGACAGGGCCUUAAUCAGGUGUGUUGGAGCAGAGGUAAAACACAAGAGGUAGCCCCGCCCAUUCACGCUAACUCAGCCCAGCCCGCUGACCACCUGGUUUUGUUUUUUUCUUUAUAGCAAACUAACGUGACUCGUGUGAGUUACGGCUGCUGCUAGUUUACAAUCAUUAAUGCCAUCUUCUGUGUUCCAGUUAAGCAAGAUGAAUAUAAUUUGCCACACACCAAAACCCGCCGUUGCUUUAGGUUCAAAGCCUCCACUUCAUGAAUUUACCUGCAUUUAGCCGAUGGCGGGUGCUAAUUUUCACCCGAUCGGAACAUUCAUAGUGCUGAGUUCCGUGUAGAUGCCCUAAAUGACCUUCUGUUAGGAGGAGGUUUGUUCCUAAAACUCCAGUAAGCCUACUGGUCGGCUCCAAGUGGACCAGCAUGUUUCAAGAGGAGACUUUCAGAGGUUCAUACCAUCCUCCUCAGGCCGGUUGCCAACCUCCGCGGUGCAGCUGACUCCGUCUGAAGAACACGAGCUGAGGAAGUCCUGCGAGGCUUCACUCUGCCCAGGAGCUAAACACACAGCAGUCAGAACCGACCCUCUGGAGAACGGGUUCGUCGGAGCACAGGGCCAGAACUCACCUUCAGCAAUCUGAGACAGAUGAUCCACCUCCAUGAUGAAGUCCUCCUUCAGGAAGAGAAAGCCCACAAUGGAGAAGAGGUAGACGAGGAUGAGGGCGAGCAGUGCCGUCAGCAGGAUGGAACGCCCGUUGCGAGUGACGCUCUUUAUUACGUUGAACAGCGUCUCCUCUCGGUAAAUCAGGUCGAAGAGCUGCACGGAAAAACGUUAAAGGUUCUCUUCUCAACAGAAGCCAGAUCUUCAGGAGGACCCUCAGACUUACCAGGAUGCUGUAGAAGAGCUCAUGGACAAACAGGCCCAGGGUGGAGGUCAGGACGUAGGCCAGGUGGUACAGGAACUCCACAUCCAUCACCAUGGCCUUGUAGCCCAUAAUGAAGGUCCCGUUGUUCCCCACAAAGCUCACCACAAACACCACCUUGUUGAUCAGCUGGAGGCAGGAAGACAAUAGGUCAGGAAGACCAGAACCCAGAGUCCUGACCCAGGUCCAGUUUAGUGGAGGAGAAGGGUCCUGGACCGGAGCGACGGCGUUUCUUACGUUCAGCGACCCAAGCAGGAUGAGGGUGUUGCCGAUGCCCAGGUGGUAGAUGGACCUGAGGAUCAGAGCCAGGGUGAGCGGCUGCAGACCACGCUGAGAGAGCAGACCCAGAACCGAAAGUCCGGUCAGGAUCCAGAACAGCAUCAACAGCAUGGAGUCAUCGAUGGCUCCUGCAGAGGAAGAGACCGCGGACAGGAUGAGCUGCAGCUUCUGACAACACACCCAGAUCCGUCCAAGAGUCACAAGACAUCUGCAGCCACCGCCGUGGGCCGACGGUCUCGGCCCGGUUAGAUUCUGGGUUUGGGUCAAUCUGAUACAUAAAAUGUUUAACCUGGAUUAAACCCUUUGUAAGAUUUUUACAUUUCAGUCAAUGAAGAAUAAAAUCUUUUGUUUAGAGUCGAGUGUAUGUGGGGAAAGGGGGCGGGGCUAAAGUUCUGGCGUCUCAGUAGUACCUUGGCCCGAGUCGUAGGGGUAGAAGAAGGCGAUGAUGAGGUUGAUGAAGACAGCGAGGUUGAACGAGAUGGUCCCCCACAGACUCAUCCGUCUGGAGAACCAGUACAACACGGGCAUACCUGAAACCAGAACCGCAGGUCAAACCAGAACCACUCAGGAUGGACCAGAACUCGGUCUCGAUCGGUCCUCACUCCUCAGCUUCUUCUGCCACUCCAUCUCUCCGUGCAGGAAGGACGUCUGCUCAAAGAAGUGUGUGACCUUUGACCCCUGCUCGUCCUGCUCCGUGGUGUUGAACACUCUGGACUUUGACUCCUCCGUCAGAAACUCACAGAUGGGAUGGACGGGAAAGACGAUCUGCUCCAUGCUGCGGUCCUCCCGGACAAUCUGAACAGAGACCAGGAACCUUCAGAGGAACAGGAAGACACCUGACAGCAGGGCACAUGGCGGGGAAUCCGCGGGUCCGUAAGUCUUAAAUUAGCUUUUCCAAAUUUAAGACCUUAAAAAUGACAAAUAAUCCUUAAAUACAGUUUCCAAAGGUCUUAAAUUACCAAAGACCCAAUAAACAAGAUUGUCUUAUUUCUAUAAAAGUUUUGUGAAUUUCAAGUUAGUGUUCAGCUUUUUUUGUGUACGAUGCCCCACUAGCUGGUUAAGCUAGCCAUGGGGAAGUGCAGGUUUAAUGGUAACUAGAUGGCUAAUCCCGACGUGGUCAGCACCGGUUCCAGGCAAUAAUAGCUUAAAUUUGGUCAAAGUAGCCUUAAAAAAGAUCUAAAAGAGUCUUAAAUUUGGCUCUCUUAAACCUGCAGGUACCCUGCAUGAUGUCACGCCGCUCAGGUGACCACCCCUGUGCCAUGAUGGACGGUAGAAAGACUUGAUUACACACUGAAACUCCAAUGAAACGAGCCAGUCUGUAGCUUUGAGCCGUUUUCACUGUAAGAUGGUCGUUUGCUGCACUAACGGACGAGGAUGUAAACUCAACUCGUCGGUUUUAAGUAACAUUGAUGAGGCUGAGGACGGAGAUGAACCGCGGCUCUCUAAUUAUUUUGGGAUUUGCAGCGAACACGUUUUACCAGGUAAGACUAACGUUCAUACAUUUCACGAGGAAGACGAGGACUGGCGUGCGGUUUUACCAUGGAGGAUGCGCGGCACCAUCCACUGUGGUGAAAUACGAGCUAAUUAUUUACAAGAUUGUUCCAGUGUAGGAUUACGUCUGUUAAGUUUACGUUAUUUAUUUAGCAUGGUGAGCGUCGUCAAGAAAAACCUCGUCCUGGUGUGAGUAGGAGCUGACCUCUGACCCUGCCAGCGACAAAAACUGUUUUCAUCAGCUCCAAGUUAAAGCGAAACGCUGAUGACAUAAUGUUAUAAAUCCAGCGGGAAGAACGUAGCGUUCUAGCUAGCUCAGCUAAACUUUUGUUGACACCGCUCUCUAUGGCCCGUCCUAAGUGUGCUAAAUCUUCCCACAAGUGAACUGGGCUUGAACCAGUAGAGACCAGUUCAAGUGUCAUCAGUCCCACUUUUCUUCUCCGUUCGAUACUCUCAUAGCUCACUGUUGUCCCACUUAGACGAGCUACUUCUACUGAUAACUGGGCUUGAACUAGUUGAAGCCAUGCACACAAAACAACAACAACAAACAAUCUUAGACACUACGUUUUCCUGUUUUAGUACUCGUGUCACUCAUUGUUUACGUGCUUUUGCCAAACAACAUGGUGGACCUACGUGACGAGACCCAAUGACUGGAGUUAAAAACUCAGACACCCUAACGUUCUGCAGGAUGUUCUUCGUUCCAGCUCCACACAUCUGAUCAUUUCAAAAAGAUUGACCUUUUUCAGAACCACAGCAUGAAGCUGCGGUACCAGUACCUCUAUCUGAGAUGUUAGCUGGUCGUAGAACUCUAACGGGUCCUGUUCCACCACAUCAACAGGAGCCGAGGACUUCAACAUCUGAGACAGAGGGCGGUUGUUCAGGUUCAGCUGCAGAGACACAAACCGCAGCAGGACUUCAGUGUUGGACGACAAGAGCAGAACCAAAAGACACCGCCAGAACCAGAGGACAGACAGUUACCAUGGAGGAGAUGCCCUCCUCUCCCUCUGGACUCUUCUUUUGCGGCUUCAGGAGGUUCUGGAGAAACUUGUUGUGUCUCGCCAGCUAAAAAGAGAAAAACGUCAAACUUCUGAUCCAGUCACAGAUCAUCAGAACCAUCCAGCCAAUCAGGAGGCUGCGUUUGGUCACCUGCUGAGCUAGGAUGUAGAUGUUGUGUCCCACUUCCCGAGAAGACACCUCCACCUCCUCACACUCACAGUCCUGAAGGUAGGCCUUCUUUAUGACCUCCACCUGCACGCACGCACGCACGCACGCACGCACGCACGCACACACACACACACACACACACACACACACACACACACACACACACACACACACACACACACACACACACACACACACACACACACACACACACACACACACACACACACACACACACACACACACACACACACACAAAACCAACCAAUUUGGGUCAUAACAGCUGUUUCAUCUGCCCCGGUUUUGUGGUUCUGGUUCUGACCAGCUCUCGAGGCCGCAGGUUGAACAGGAUCCUCUCGGCGUUCUCGUUGUCAUGGCGACUCUCCAUCAGUGCCAGCAGUAGCUUGGAGGCGUUGUCCUGGCAACCAGGCCAGAAACAGGAAGUUACCAUCCAACAUGUAAUUUUACAAGACAGCAGCUGAUUGUUGGUCGCCGCCCCCUAAAGGCAGCUAGCGGGAACUACACUCUGAAGAAUCUUCUCAUCUAUAAGCAUCUGUAAUAAAGACUCAUCAUGUGACUUUUUAAUCAAAAAUAGUUUCAAUAAACAUUUUUAGACUGACACUAAACCAGUUCGGCUUCAAACUUUGUUUUUCAGUAACACACCUUCACUGGAGAUGAAAGAAAUCUAGUAUAUAGCGCCUCAAGAUGAAAAUCACGAGGCGCUUCACACAAAAAUAUGAUUAAAAUGGUGACAAAGGACAUGCAAACACCUGAACAGGUGCGUUUGAAGGAGACCACUGAGCCCACUGAUCUCAGGCUCAGGGGGAGAGAGGUCCCACAUGCAGGAUGCUGCUGAGUAAACUUCUGUCUGUAGCACGGAGAGUGAGGUGUGUGUGUGUGUGUGUGUGUGUGUGUGUGUGUGUGUGUGUGUGUUUCAGAGUCUCCAAAAGCAAAACUAGCCCGCCUUAGUUUACUUUUCUAUGGAGGACACCGCGGACUUUCCCACGUGCAUUAAACCCCGCCCACAAGCUCGGGAAAUUCCGCAUUCCUGAGAAGUCCCUGGAAUUUAUAUGUGACAACUACACCGCCCGUUUGAGACCGAACGCCGACCGUGCCGACGCCGAUGUGUAAGCGCCACAAGAGUCUCUGACUCUGGGAACCAGCUUGUCUGGGGCACAGAUGAGGAUCUCGGUCUGAUCUUCAUCCAGGUUUACUGGAGUCUAAGCAGGCGUGGAACAGCUGCAGCUUAGACAUCGGUUCUGGUUCCUGGGCAAUACCGGGUCAUCGUAAAGAACUCUACAUAACAGAAUCGAUGAUGACAAAAAUUCUGCUUCUAGAAACCAAACAUGAAGGAUCGUUACUGGUAGCACGAAUCAGCCAAGGACCGGCUCUAGCGGACGUUCCGAUCCAGAUUCGGCUCGCUGACGGUUGAGCCUUACAGGUGACCCGACUUACCUUCAGCUGUAAAACCAUCUCCAUUCGGUAUCGAGACAGAGGACUGAUGUCAUUCAGGAUCAGAGCGGUGAUGAUGUCGAUGCCGUUGGACUCGUGGGUCACGAUGCACGUCUGAAACAAUACACACAGUCCUCAGAGGUUCUGAUGUCAUGAGGUCCAAAACCAGGAGGAGUUACAAACAAGCCAAAAGCCCAAAGAAAGAGCCGAGUUCUCAGACAGAACCACUCUAGUGUGUUGGUGGACCUGGUUCUCCUGACACGGGCCCUGGCAGUACUCUGUGAGCGUCUCCAGGGUCUGGAUGAUCAGGUGGACGUUGGAUUCGUUGAUGUAGAGGCCCAGAAGGCCCAGUCCACCGGUGGUGCUGCCACACAUGAUGUCCAGGAACUGCAGAGUCUCACAAACCAGGUUAUAGUUGGUUUUGUUGUUCUGGACCCGCAGAAAGUUCUGAAAACAAAACAGAGCCGUUCUGUCAGGUCACAUCAGGCUGAAGUUCUCCUGAAGACCUCCAGGUGGCGCCAACUCGCACCAACUAACCUGCAGGUUCUGGUUGUGGUUCUCACACAGCAGCUGCAGGAACCUGAGGAUGGGUUUCAUGAUGGUGACGGCCGGUCCCAUCUCCAUCUCCGGCUGCUCUGGAGGAGGCUGAGCCGGUAGGGCGGAGGCGACGGACUGACCCUGCACCAGCAGAGGGUGACCUCCUGAACCAGGAAGAGCCAGCGCCGCAGAUCCUGCUUUACAAGUGGAACACGGCGAAAAAGGUUAAAUUCUCACAGCUUCCUGAAACAUCUAACGAGAAGCGUGUCUCACCGCUCUCCAGCUCCUUCUCGUUAGCCUUGUGCGUCAUCUCGCUGACGUUGACAGAAACUGUUGCUUUAAUGUCCAUCUGAGCUUCUUUCAUCCUGUCAUCAAGAACUUUGAAGAACUUCUCGGACUUGUUGUCGCCCAUCAUCAGUUUGUAGAAGGAGUUCUGCAGAAGGACAGGAAGUGGACUUCAACAGAUCAAUCAGUAGGUUCUGCUGUGGGCCCAGUAGAUCUUACUGGUUUUAUUAGCAGGUUCAGGUCUGGUUCCAGACACAAGACUAAAACCAGUUCAGCACCAGUCCCUAAACUUGGUCUUCUCUCAGGUGUUACCUGGAUCUCUGUGUUCCCUCCCUCCAGGAGACAGAUGGCCAGCUGGAUGCUCUCCUGGAAGAUCUUGUCGUUCUUGGUGCUCAUCACCAGAUCCGUGAACAGCUUUGUUCCUCCUUCUCGGUCCAAACGGCACUGAACAGCAGCCACCAUGGCCCAGUCUCGCUCCUGCUCACUACCUGACCCACAAACACAGGAUGAGAGGUCCCCUCAUCUCCAAGCAUCCACAGCUGUAGCAAAACCAUCGAGACCAUCUCUUCCUGUCUGCAGCAGAACCUGAUCAGGUUUACGAUUUGGUCUCUUAUCUCCAGCUUUCAUCUCUGCAAGCCCCAGUGGAACACCUGGAGAUGCUACAGAUCCACUCAUCGCACGUCAGGCCUUCAAACAAGCAAUUCUGUUGCACUUCCUCUUCCUGUGAUGUCACUUCCUGUCAGGAGCUUACUGUACAUCCAAACAUGACCCUCAUGGGCCUUUUGAUUCAUCUCCAAGGAUUUCUGCUGAGUCUAACCUGACGUACUUCUGGGGCUUUUAUUGUGAAGAAACAUCAUGAAGUAACGUACGUGUGUGUGUGUGUGUGUGUGUGUGUGUGUGUGUGUGUGUGUGUGUGUGUGUGUGUGUGUGUGUGUGUGUGUGUGU